AGUGAACGCUGGCGGCGUGCUUAACACAUGCAAGUCGAACGAUGAAGCUCUUGCUUGCAAGAGUGGAUUAGUGGCGCACGGGUGAGUAAUGUAUAGCUAACCUGCCCCUUCAGAGGGGGACAACAGUUGGAAACGACUGCUAAUACCCCAUACUCCUUUCUAUCAUAAGGUAGAUUGGGAAAACUCCGGUGCUGAAGGAUGGGGCUGUAUGGUAUCAGCUAGUUGGUGGGGUAAUGGCCUACCAAGGCAAUGACGCCUAGCUGGUCUGAGAGGAUGAUCAGCCACACUGGAACUGAGACACGGUCCAGACUCCUACGGGAGGCAGCAGUGGGGAAUAUUGCACAAGUGGGGGAAACCCUGAUGCAGCAACGCCGC
rnacentral:rRNA from 1 species